rnacentral:lncRNA from 1 species
UAGUUCUCACGCCCCUAUUUCUAUGUUUCCUUUUCAGAGCCUUCGGCACCGGCGGAGGCACAGGAUCGCGGCAAGGGUGUCGCGUAGCUAGCUCGCGGAGAGUUCUUUUGCGCUAGGUGGUUACUCCUCCAUUUUUUUAUAUUUUGUGAGAUGGGGAGAGGUUUUGUACCAUGUAUAGAGAGACCACCUUGUACUCCUUUUAGCACUUGUUAUGGGAUCCCUAUUGUUCUUACUUUAUGUUUUUAUUUAGUGGAUUUACAGUUUUAUCCUUAUCCUUUGUUGUAGCAUUUAGACAUUUAUUAUACUCUGAUACUCCUAGAUGCCUUUUAUUAUUGCUUUUAUUAUUGUUGUUUUUAGACGCCUUAUAUGUUUUAGACGUAUGGCGGGUCUGGGCACGUGCCGGGCGGGCUUCCGCUGGGUCCCGGGGCGUGACAUGUAAUGAGGUACAAAGAAUCAUGAAUGUAAAUGGAUGCAAUGUAUAUGAUCAAAAAUGAAUCAUAGUACUUGUAAAUGUUUAGUUUUCCUUUCUUUCACUAAUGGCUAUUGCUUACCCUCGUGUAAGCCGUUUGUGUAUGUUUCCGCUAGUGCUUUUCUCUAUUGAUGAAAAUAUACAUGUGAUGAGCUUUGGGCGGAUAGGGGAAACUCUGUCCGUUCGGCGUCUGUUUGACGUGCUCGGGUCGGGCCAAAUUGGUAUCUGUCCCGGGGCGUGACAAGCGUCUAGAUGGUCUGUGAUUCAUCUACUUUGUGAGACGAAAAUCAAUCAAAUAUACACCGAUUUCUUGUGGAUAUGUAUAAAAGCCGGACACGUGCGCGACUAUGCAAGAACCUCAAAAUAAUAAUCGAAGCAUACACUACCAACCGUACUGUAGAUCAAGAGAUCUCAACUGGCACACGGUAAGAUAUCUAAACAUAAAAAUUAAGUAUAUACUAAUUUUGCAUAGUAACAUGAGAAUGAUCCACUAGCAUUGGAUUGAUUUCUUGUUUUCGGUUUCUUCUAUGGUACGUAUUUGACUUUCAAUAAAUUAAAAUUGCAAAAUUAUUUU